CGUACGCUUUUAGUUUGCCCUCGUCGCCGCAACACUCGCCAACAAAAACACAAACGAAAUCUCUCUCCCUCUAUGUCCAUUUGUUUCUGAGCGACCGAUCGAGUUGAAGAUCUGUGAACUCGAAGAAGCAGAAGGAAGAUUUUGUCUCUCUAGAAUCUGGAUUGUGACGGCGUAGUGUGUGUUCGGCUAUGGGUGAUAACUCAAAGAAAGAGUUGGUACAGCUGAUCAAGAGAUUUGGGGCUUAUCUCAGCCUCAAGAUGUCCAAUCUCUUUUCCAUCUCCCUCAACAAUCUCGAUUCUCGAUCUGUUGGGGCUGUGGCAGGGCUUGCCAUUGCAAUACUGUUUACUUGGAGGCUAUUGAGAUCACCUAGUGGACCUCAAAGAAGACAACCUAAACGACAAGCACCUACAUCUAGUAGUUCUGGUGUAAGUAAUCAUUCAAAUACAAAUUUGACAUCUUCUGGAGUUUGCUCUCCUUCAGAAGAUUCAAGAGCACAAAAUGUUAUUGAUGAGUUCUUUCAGCCCGUAAAGCCAACUCUAGGACAAAUAGUUAGGCAGAAGUUGAGUGAAGGAAGGAAGGUAACGUGUCGGUUGCUUGGUGUAAUCCUUGAGGAAACUAGUCCAGAGGAGCUUCAGAAACAAGCUACUGUGAGAUCCUCUGUGCUGGAAGUACUGCUGGAGAUUACAAAAUUUUGUGAUCUUUAUCUCAUGGAAAGAGUUCUGGAUGAUGAAAGUGAAAAAAAGGUUCUCCUAGCUUUAGAAGAUGCUGGGGUUUUUACAUCUGGCGGCUUGGUCAAAGAUAAGGCUUUCACAAUCCCAAUGAAGGGGGCAAGUUUUUUCCACACCACCUGCAAUGGAUUUCAGGGCAGGACUGGUGUUGGUUCCUCCGAUCCUGAUCCCUACCCCAAGCCAAGACCAAGAAAAGGGACAAGAAACAAAUUGGUCAUAGGUUAUAUCUUUCAACUUUCAGAUGAGAGUUAGUUGUCCCUUGAAAUAUCUGGAGAUGGUUACCCCAACUUCAUGGAUUUUACCUUUAGGCUCCGUUUGUUUUGACGUAAAAUGGUUUUGUCAAAAAUAUUUCACUUAGUUUCCUUUGUUUGGUUGAACAAAAAGCAAGUAAAACGUUUUGUAAGGAAAAUAUUUUUGCAUCAUUUUUUCAAAAUGACUUACUUUUAAAAAUUCCGUUAGAUUUUACAAAGUUGACUCUCACUCACUAUUUUUUCAUCACAUUUAGCAUUUUCAAAUAAAUAUCUUAGCUCACUAAAACGUCAUAAAUGACACUUUAUUGAAUCAAAUUUCUCUUUUAGGCAAUAAAAUGUUUUUGUUUAAAGUGUCAAUCAAACACCGAAAAAACAAAAUCAAAAACAUUGUGUGUAAAAUCAAUUUACAAGAAAAAUAUUUUACGUCGAAACAAACUGAGCCUUAGAUAGAAUUGCAAAGGUCCUCUGAUGUUAUAAUCCUUUCAUAGUGCCAGAUCUUUGAUAUUCGUGGAGCUUUUCUGAAAUUUUGAAAAAGGAAUACUAUGAAGUUUUAGUGAACAUUUUUAUCAGGCGGGGAAAAUUUCCAUAGGUUCUCUUUUGUGGCACAGAAAAUGGUCGGACAUCUUUCGUUCGGCAACUGGAGCCAGAUUGGCAUAUUGACUCAAAUCCUGAUAUCGUUUAUCAACUAGCGCGGUUCAUCAAAUAUCAGCUUCACAUUUCUCCCAUAAAAC